AUAUCUAUCUGCGCGUGAUUCAACAGAGGAAAGAUAAGCAGUUUUUCCCAGGCCAGGCCUAUCCCAUUGCACUCAAGAUAUGCUGACCCCUGCAGUCGCCCCAGAUGUGGAAAACUCCCGUGCAUAAUUUAUGGUAGUGGGUGACUGCAUUCACAUUCUCCCC
rnacentral:snRNA from 1 species